rnacentral:rRNA from 1 species
CCCUUAGAUGUCCUGGGCCGCACGCGCGCUACAAUGGUCUUCGCAAACGGAUGCAUUCUCGAAGGAGAAUGCCAAUCUUGGAAUCUAUGCCUUGGUCGGGACAGUUGCUUGCAAUUUUUCGACUCGAACCAGGAAUUCCUUGUAAUCGUGAUUCAUCACAUCACGAUGAAUACGUCCCUGCCCUUUGUACACACCGCCCGUCGCUCCUACCGAUCGAAGAGUUAGGUGAAUUGUUUUGAUCGAUAAGAUUUGACUAUGGUCAACUCUCGUUGUGAAAUUCUGUGAAUCUGACUGUUUAGAGGAAGGAAAAGUCGUAACA